GAUGAACGCUGGCGGCGUGCUUAACACAUGCAAGUCGAACGGAGGACCCUUGACGGAGUUUUCGGACAACGGAUAGGAAUCCUUAGUGGCGGACGGGUGAGUAACGCGUGAGGAACCUGCCUUGGAGGGGGGAAUAACACAGAGAAAUUUGUGCUAAUACCGCAUGAUGCAGUUGGGUCGCAUGGCUCUGACUGCCAAAGAUUUAUCGCUCUGAGAUGGCCUCGCGUCUGAUUAGCUAGUUGGUAGGGUAACGGCCUACCAAGGCGACGAUCAGUAGCCGGACUGAGAGGUUGACCGGCCACAUUGGGACUGAGACACGGCCCAGACUCCUACGGGAGGCAGCAGUGGGGAAUAUUGGGCAAUGGGCGCAAGCCUGACCCAGCAACGCCGCGUGAAGGAAGAAGGCUUUCGGGUUGUAAACUUCUUUUAUGAGGGACGAAGGAAGUGACGGUAC
rnacentral:rRNA from 1 species